AUUGAACGCUGGCGGUAUGCUUUACACAUGCAAGUCGAACGGUAACAGGCCUUCGGGUGCUGACGAGUGGCGGACGGGUGCGUAAUGCAUCGGAACGUGCCCAGAGGUGGGGGAUAACGCAGCGAAAGCUGUGCUAAUACCGCAUGUGAUCUGAGGAUGAAAGCGGGGGACAAGGCAGCAAUGUUUGGCCUCGCGCCUUUGGAGCGGCCGAUGUCAGAUUAGGUAGUUGGUGGGGUAAAGGCCUACCAAGCCGACGAUCUGUAGCUGGUCUGAGAGGACGACCAGCCACACUGGGACUGAGACACGGCCCAGACUCCUACGGGAGGCAGCAGUGGGGAAUUUUGGACAAUGGGCGCAAGCCUGAUCCAGCAAUGCCGCGUGCGGGAAGAAGGCCUUCGGGUUGUAAACCGCUUUUGUACGGAACGAAAAGGCUCUGGCUAAUACCUGGCGCUGAUGACGGUACCGAAAGAAUAAGCACCGGCUAACUACGUG
rnacentral:rRNA from 1 species